GCAUUUGUAUGUAUAUAACUAUAGUGCAGAUUAGAAACGAAUGGCAAAUUGAAAGUACACAAAUAGAACUUGUGCUUCCAUGUAACUGUACAAUUGCAUAGAUGCCAGAAAUUGGAAUAUUACAUAUUUCCGUAUAAAUUUUUUUAGUUUGGAAGUGAAUUCAAUCUUGUCACUUUGAAGGAUGAAACUCUAGAGAUUUAAUUUUCGUGGGAGACAAUCCUUCAUAUUAAGCAAUGCAGACAAUAAAAAUGAGAAAACAAAAACGAGAGAACUGUUUAUGGAUAAAUUUGAAUCACGUCGAUGCUGAAAUAUGUGUAUGUGUAUAAUGUUCGAUUAGUAAUCAGUUUCAUCUAGGCCAGAUAUUUUUAUAUUGUCAUCAUUUGAUUGAAUAUCAUCGCAUACUCGUUUCGAUCGAAUUCAUCAACAUUCAUUAGUAUGUAUAGUUAUUUAUCAUCAAUAAUUAUAUUUAACAUCAUAUACUCGCCUUAUUACAAGAACGACAGAACUCGUUUUCAAAUGUGCCUGUCCGAAUUAUUUUUUAUGUAUUUCGAUUCAGAAAAAAUAUGUCUGAGAAUUUUACGACAGAACAUUGAAUUGUAGUUAUGCCCGCUUGGCAUUGUGACAGUAAUUUGUUUGUACCACUGAAUAAACCAUUUAUUUG